rnacentral:rRNA from 1 species
CCUACGGGGGGCAGCAGUGGGGAAUAUUGGACAAUGGGGGGAACCCUGAUCCAGCCAUGCCGCGUGUGUGAAGAAGGCCCUCGGGUUGUAAAGCACUUUCAGUGAGGAAGAACGCCUGGUGGUUAAUACCCAUCAGGAAAGACAUCACUCACAGAAGAAGCACCGGCUAACUCCGUGCCAGCAGCCGCGGUAAUACGGAGGGUGCGAGCGUUAAUCGGAAUUACUGGGCGUAAAGCGCGCGUAGGUGGCUUGAUAAGCCGGUUGUGAAAGCCCCGGGCUCAACCUGGGAACGGCAUCCGGAACUGUCAAGCUAGAGUGCAGGAGAGGAAGGUAGAAUUCCCGGUGUCGCGGUGAAAUGCGUAGAGAUCGGGAGGAAUACCAGUGGCGAAGGCGGCCUUCUGGACUGACACUGACACUGAGGUGCGAAAGCGUGGGUAGCAAACAGGAUUAGAUACCCCUGUAGUC